rfam:Trichobilharzia regenti genome assembly, scaffold: TRE_scaffold0008760
AUACUGAUGAAGAGUCCCAAACUAGGACGAAACAGCUGUUCAGUAC